UCCUACGGGGGGCAGCAGUGGGGAAUAUUGCACAAUGGGGGGAACCCUGAUGCAGCGACGCCGCGUGAUUGAAGAAGGCCUUCGGGUUGUAAAGAUCUUUAAUCAGGGACGAAAAAUGACGGUACCUGAAGAAUAAGCUCCGGCUAACUACGUGCCAGCAGCCGCGGUAAUACGUAGGGAGCAAGCGUUAUCCGGAUUUACUGGGUGUAAAGGGCGUGUAGGCGGGCUUGUAAGUCAGAAGUGAAAUCUGGGGGUUUAACCCCCAAACUGCUUUUGAAACUGCGGGUCUUGAGUGAUGGAGAGGC
rnacentral:rRNA from 1 species